UGUAAGGAACUAAAACACAAAAGAUUAACAUACUAACAUCUUCCCUUAAAAGAGGCCAGUGUUGUGGGAUCUUCCAGACAGGGAGGGGAUGAAGGCAGGGCCCUUCCUAGGUUCAGGCUGAGGCUGCAAAACCGAAGGCAGAGAACCCUGAUGGAACACUGCUGUUGAUGGAGACACUGCCUGCCUGUGGUCAGUGGAGAGGACCGCUGAGCCUGCCCCUACCACAGCACCAGAGCGACAGAGGACAGGGACCCAAGACAAAGAACAGAAACACUCAGGAAGAAACUAAAGUAAGCAUGUUCUACGUGCCAGGCCCAGGAUGGAGAUACAAAAGAGCAAGAAAAAUGCUCACACACUCACGGAGCUCACCAUCUAGCGGCACCAAUGGAUGAGACUCCUGCACAUUUCCGAGAUGGAAGUGUUUUCCUUACUACAAUAGUCUUUUUGAAUAAAGCCUCUCCUUAUCUGCGUCCAGAUUUGACAACCAGCAAUCUUUCUACCAUGCACGUCUAAGCUGAUACAGCUCAGGUGGCUUUUCGCAUCAAAAACCAAGUGCUGACAUACUGUGUUAGAACCCUUGUGCAUGAAGUAGCCAGGAUGGGCAGAAACAUCGACACAGAAAGUAAACUGGUGGUUGCCGGGGGCUGGGGGUGGGGAGGAGUGGGGAGUGGCUGUUGAUGGGCACAGGGUUUCUUUUGGGGCUGAUGGAAAUACCCUAAACUUAGACUGUGAUGACAGCUGCACAACUCUGUGGCUAUACUAAAGAGCACUGAAUCGCACACUUUAAAUGGGUGAAUUUUAUGGUAUAUGAGUUUUAUCUCGGUAAAGAUUUUUUUACCUGUUACAUUCCAAUGGUAGACUGAAAUAGAAAAUGAAAGUGUGACAUAUCUUGAACUUUAAAUUAGUUGAAUUAUAAGGUCCUUCUUUUACUUGAUAAAUAACAUACAUUAUAGCCCAAACUGAGUGCAUAAUUCAAUGUCUAUUUCCAAGAAGGCUUCUUAGUUCAAUGAGUAAGAAUUUGUAAAUCCCAAUAAAGUUUUUCAAAUUUGACAGCAAGCAAAAGGAUGUAAAGAUUAAAAUAUGAAGUGGAAAAAAAUUAACUGGCUAAAUCAUUGCCACUGGAACAUUCUCAGAACCAAUUGUGGAGACUGAUCUUUGAUUCAUUUUUUUUAAUUGAAAAAGCAGCUUUUUUUCUUUCUUGGCCUAUCUUUAGCAAUUCAAUCAGAGUCAACAGUAUUUUUUUUUUCCUAGCAGCAUUUGGAUCGAGCCCUAUUCUUGGCACUGAAAAGAGGAUGAACAGUAAAUGAAAUAACAUAUGUGAAAGAAGCCCUGAGAAUGGGGCCUGGACCUCAGAGAGCGCCUGCUCUCUGGUAUGUUUUCUGUAAUUUCAUAUACUUCAUGCAGGUUUCAGGUGUGCUUACACUGCAGUACAUCAGAGAGGCUGGUUAACAUCAUGCACCGUGGAGCCCAAGUGCCUAGGUGAGACCCCCAGCUCUACCACACUUUCCCUGGGUAACCUGGGGAAGGUACCUAACCUUUCUGUGCCUCUGCUUUGCCAUGGGGGAUGAUUGCGGUCCCUAAUCCACGGGGUUGUUAUGAGGCUUAAAUGAACUGAUGUUUGUAAAGAGGUUAGCACAAUGCUAAGUGCAUAAUACGUGCCCGACGAAUGUUUAUUUGAAAACACAGUUUGAGGGACCCGAGUGGGGAGCUCACCCUCCAGAGGUGGUAAUUAACACCUGAAAGAUGAAUCAGAGGCUCUCUGCAGGGGGUUACCCUUCAACAUUACCUGUCUUCAUUUCACCAGAGAAGCUAUUAAUCAGCACGAUGGAGGUUAUUUAAUGAUUUUUCAUUGGUGCAAAGACUAGAUGUGUGGAGGACAGGUACUCAUACCCCGGCAUUAACGGAGAAGCAGUCUGUCACAAACACAGCAGCCACCCCAGAUUGGAGUGGUUUAGGAUUCUGAACAGUCCUGUGUGUGGAGGAGCACUUAAAUCUUGCUGCCUGACUCUGACUAGCAUGGCCACUGAAUCCUGCCUUUGAGGCGUGUCUCAUUCCUCUGAAUGCAUCUUUCCUGCAAGGUGUUCUUUGGGCACCUAAAAGGACAACGCGGAGACCUGACUGAGACAGAUCAGCUUGUGUAACGGCAUUUCUGUUGGCUUGUCAAUCCACAUGCCACUCAAGGAAUGGCUUCAGUCUCUGUCUUUCUUUCUGAUACUCCUAUUAGCACGGCCAAGAGGGAGAAGACCUGUGGUUCCGACCUGAGCCAACUCUGGGAGGCCACUGACGUCUUCCAAAAAUAAUCAAAUAUGGUGAAUUCCCAAAUUGGCCUGGGUCUCUGUUUCCAACAGACCCCAUAAAAAUGCCAGUAGAAAUGAAAUACUUUUUCUCUCUCAGGCAGUUUAUAAUCCAAAUGUAGUGACAAGCCAAACACAAAGGUAAAAGGCAAUGGAAGACCUAGGAAGAGAACUUCUUCAAGCACCAUUUGACAGUAUCUGUUGAGCAUAUUGUGUGUCCCAAGGACUGUGCUGGCGGCUGUGGCAGCAUCGGGAUGGAUCAGUCAGGACUCUUACGUGAAAAGGGAUAAUCGUGACAUCUGGUUUAAAACAAGUGCAAACGAACUCAGUUUAUAAGCACUCGAGGGCUUACCUAUGGCCAGCAGUAAGUCUUCAAAAUGCCCAGACAGUUCUCCUUUUAUGCUGUCCUCAAUGUCCUUCUGGCUAAUAUUUCUGUAUUCAUCAAAUGCUGAAAAGCAGCAUCACAAAAAAUAUUUAAAGCAUCUCAGUUGACCACACUUCAAUAUAUUCUAGUUUUUGACUUGACAUGCAGCAAAUCACGUUAAGUGGCAAGCUCAAAAACUCCUAUAUAAACCAUUAAAAAUCGAGCACAGAGGUUUUUGGUUUUUCUUGAAAAAAUCACCAGUAAUAAAACUUGAACUUCCCAGGCCAUUUUCUUCAACGAUCAAUCUCUUUGUCUCUCUCCCCUCCCCUCCUCUUCCCUCCCCCUAACCAGACUGUUAGCAUUUAAAAUAGCCUGAAAGGCUAAAUGAUAAAUAAUUUAUCUAGUAAGGUGGGCUAUUUUUAAAUUAUAGCAGCACCUGGGAAGCAAAAUGUGGCUAUUAGUCAAAUAUGUUUUAAACCUACUACUGAAAUCUUAAUUAUGGAGAUUUCUCCAUGCUGAGCACACACUCCCUAAGGCAGCAUGGCCUACCUCUCCCUAGAAGGCAUUCCAAGUUCUUGGCUGGUAUUCGCCCCAAAGCAAAACCUGCACCUCUGUCCCCGGGCAGGUAGGCAUACUUUGUAAGCCAAGUAUAUUUUUCCCAAGUAAAUUUCAAAAAGAGAAAAUCUGGAGAGAGAUCUAGGAUUGUUCGGUUUUCAGUUUUUCAAGUAAAGCAACUCUAGAAUACUAUUACCCUUAUUUUAUAAAAAAGAAUAUCAUUUUAAUACCAGAUUUAGGAAAAGUGAUCUCAGAAUUAAAAAAAAUGGCAGUCCCUGUGUUUCCUCAUUUCCUUUGAACUCAGCACAAGCUUAGACAAGCAGUGCGAUCGUUCUCCAGAUCAGCGCCUGGAAGCCACAGUCAGAUGCCCACGUAAGAGGAGCGCUGGGCUUCCAGGUGCUGUUGCCUCCAGCAUGACUCAGGGAGAUGCAUGAGUGAGGAAGUGGGUGCUUAGCCAUUCAGUGUAAUAGUCGGUCUGAUAAAAAGAGCCCUCCCUCCCUGCUUCCAAUUGAUCUUCCUAUCAGAAAAAGCAGAAUGUUAAUCAACAUGGGUGCAUUCACAGAGACUCACUCGCAAUGGAAAGUGGCUAAUGAGGCAAGAGACAGGCUGGAAGCAAUGCUCCUCUCUGCUCUCACCCUGGAGGGCUGCUCGCUGCUCUCUCCUCCCUGGCCUCCCUCCCCAUCUAGUCUAUCACCUGUCACUCACUGGGUAAUCUACUCAGCCUCUAGGGGGACACAAGGGUCGUGUCCCUUCUGCCCAGAGUAAGGAACACAGCUCUCCCCGGUUGUUUCUUGAAAUGUUUACACAUAAAAAUGGAAGAGCCUUUGUGAUUUUUAACUUCAUUUUCCAGAACUUAGUAUAUUCAACCCUAAAACAUAUGCACAAACCAUACAAUUCCCAAAGGAUGGCCAUUCGAGUCCAUACUCAGUUUCAGUUGAAGAAAGCUCCUUAAACACAGGAUCUCGGUGAAGGUAUCCUCAUCCGUGCCCCAUCUCUUCUCACCGGCAUUAUAGAGAAUCUGUGGGACAAGGGAGAAGACAGAAAUGUUACUGCAGACCCAAUUCUUUUUGAGGUGGCGGAAUGAGAAGCGGGCGAGCUGACUUGACUUCACAGGUCAUUGUGGUCAUCUGUCAUCCACAUCUCUCACUUCUAGCAGAAUAGACAUCUGACAGCUGGGGUGGCAGGAGCCAGGGGAAGAAGCGCCACCACCGGAGGUGACAGAAAGUUGGGGCUGGGUGAUGCCCAGCUUCAGGCUUCUCCUUCAGACAGGCCAGGGGAGAGGACAGCCCCAGCUGGAGCCACAGAAAUGAGAAGGCAGUCAGGAGGGAGCACAGUCAAAGGAGAUGAUUUCUUUGCUCUGUUACUGACCUGGGCAUCCUUUUUGGCCAGCUGCUCAUCCACUUUCUGACUCUCAUCUCUUCUGCCCUAAACAGGGAAGAUAAAAAUAAGGGCAAGCCUUUUAGAGACAGAAGAGUCCAUUGCUUGGUAUCCCAACCACUACAGCAUCUCAGAGCUGCUUCUCCAAGGGAGGUGAUCAGGCACUUGGGGCAUCUUCAGGAAAUCAAAAUACAAGCCACAGACUGGGAGAAAAAUAUAUGCAAACACAUAUCUGAUACGGGACUGGUAUCCAAAAUAUAUCAAGAACUCUUAAAACUCAACAAUAAGGUAGCAAACAACCCAAUUAAAAAUGGGCAAAAUAUCUGAACAGACAUCAGAUACACAGAUGGCAAUAUAGCACAUGAAAAGGUGCUCAACAUCAUAUGUCAUUAGAGAAUUGAAAAUGAAAACCAAACCCCUGCACAUCAAUUAGAACGGGUGAAAUCCAAAACAGUGACAACACCAAAUGCUGGUAAGGAUGUGGGGCAACAGGGAAUCUCAUUCCUUGUUGGAAAUGUGAAAUGGUACAGCCACUUUGGAAGACAGUUUGGUGGUUUCUUCCAGAACUAAACAUGUUUUACUGUACAAUCCAGCAAUUAUGCUCCUUGGUACUUACCCAAAUAAGCUGAAAUCUUAUGUCCACACAGAAACUUGCACAUGAAUAUUUACAGAAGCUUUCAUUCAUAAUCGUCAAAACUUACAAGGGGAAUAAACUGUGGCAUAGCCAUACAAUGAAAUAGGACUCAGUGGUAAAAAGGAAAUGAGUUAUCAAGCCAUGAGAAGAGGCAGUCUGAAAAGCCUACAUACUGUAUGAUUCCAACUAUAUGACAGUCUGGAAAAGGCAAAACUACAGAGAUAAAAAGAUCAGUUACCAGGGGUUCAGAGGCAGAAAGACAGGGAUGAAUAGUGGGAGCACAGACCAUUUUUAGGGCAGUAAAACUAUUCUGUUUGAUAUAGUAAUGGUGGACACACAACAUUAUACAUUUGUCAAAACCCUAGAAUGUAGGACACAAGUGGUGAAUCUGAAUGUAAACUAUGGAUUUUAGUCAAUAAUGAUGUGCCAGUUCAUUCAUUCAUCAUCUAAUUCAUUCAUCAACUAUAAAAAAUGUGUCCUGCUAAUGCAAGAUGCUAACCAUAGGGGUCACUGGGAGAGGGUGGGAAGAUGAGCAUACGGGAGCUGUCUGCAGUUUCUGCUGGAAAUCUAAAAGUGCUCUAAAAAAUAAAGUCUAUUCAAAAAACCCCCAAAACCUCAAAGAUCCCCACUAACUCUCCUGUUGAAGGUUCCGUGGCUGAGUGUGUGUGCUUACACAAACACUUCAGCACGUCAUGGAAAGAUGGGAGACGCAGAUGAAAAAGAAGAAUGCUUGAAUUAUUUUGAAAUUACAGGGCUGAGGCUACUCUGCUCCGACUAAGCGUCCCAGUUUGCCUUCGUCUUGUUCUCCUUUCAUCAUCCACCGUGUUCCAACAGUAAAAAUGCUAACGAUCAUUGGUAUUAAUAAUAAUAAGCCGCCACUGUACUGUUGACACCCCAUGUGCUGUUUCACAUCCUCUCUCUCUCUUAAUCUUCACAACACCCUAUGAAGUUGGUACUGUUAUUAUUUUAAUUGUACAGAUGUGUGAAAUGGAGGCUUUAAGGUUUCAAUUAAAGUAACCUGCCUGAACACACAAAGCCAGUAGGCAGCAGAGGAGUACGGGGUUCUAGGUCUGACGCUGAAGCCCUGCCCGGGACCCCCGCCCUCCACUGCCCCGAGUGGGCGUGUGUGCCCGCUUGCACACACAAGCGGAUGUGCAGUGAUGAAUGCAGACCUGGGGGCAUAUGUUUGCAGCGAUGCCUCACCCAUUUGGGUUUGCAGGUUCAGUCUUCAUAAGGUUUUCACCAUUGAAAACAACUGAAACCAUAAUUAGGAUAAACUGCUUCCUAGUGGUGUAAUGCCUCACUUUGACAAACGCUGUUUCAACCCUCAGGCUGAGACGGUUGCUGGGAUUUUCUCCCACAUUAAGGGCUGUGCAACUCAGCUGAAAGAGGCUGCUGGGGUAGGACUUAAAUCAUUUCCUCCCUUACACACACGUAUGACUACAUCUCAUCCUUGACCUUAUCAUCUUUUUUUAUCAAGUCAUGCACCUCUGACAAAGAAACAGCAAGGUGUGGCCUCAUUUGGUCACACGGUGAUGAAUGGUUUAGUGACUCUUCCAAAGGCGGUAAGGACAAAGUUCCAGCAAGUCAUUUUUUUUUUUUAACCCUGAGACUGCCAUACCCAUCUCUGAAGGUAACCCUUCUGUGUCAUGUGUCCUACUUAACUUAAAUGCUCCCAAGUGGAAUAUAUAUUCUUUGGAGCCCAGAAGAAAAUCAACAUGUUCUUAAAAAUGGAGACACUCAUAAUGGAAAUGAACAAUUAUUUUUCUUUCAGAUGAACUUGCAGAACAUUUCCUAACACAUUAUGAAUCCUGAUCAAAAGACAUUUAAUCCAUUUACUGACCAAAACAAGAUUCCUUAAAUACAUCAUUAAGUUACACUUUCAUGGUGGUGGUUAAAUAUUACACUGCUUGAUGGCAAUCCAAAUGUAAAAUGAACAAAUCAUUUCAUAAGGGAAAUUGCAAUCUCAUUGUCUCAGUUUGGUUAUUUUCAAACUCCAUAAAAAUUAUUACCGAGCGUGCAACUUACUAGGGAGUUAAAAAGUAAAAAAUAAAACCUUACAUCAGCCAAAGUCAACAGAGCUUUCCGGAAGUCACCAGAGGUUUCAGAACUAAUCGCAUCUCCGAGACUUUUCUUGUAUACUGAAAGCAAAUAAGAAUGAAAUUAAGCUUUGAUAAACUAAAAAAUGUUAUUAUAAAACAGAGAAAAGCUUAAAUGGCAACACUGGCAAGGAAGGAGUACCUGAUGAAAUAAAUUACGCCUUCUUUUUUUUUUUUUUAACCUCCUAGCGCUUUUCCAAGAUGUACACCUCCUUCUUGUAACUAUUACUGUAGUAUGUGGUGUGGUAGAUGCACAAGAACAUAAGAAAAUGCCAUUCUGGAUCAACUCACGGUUCAUUUCACCUGACAAUAGCACUAAGGAACGUAUGGUGAGAAAGCUAGGGUGGGCAAGCUGCUAAUUUGCCUUCCAAUUUCCACUGCCUCCUUCUUCCAAAGGAAUAGAAGCCUGACCUUGAGCAAGACAGAAUGCACAGAGCAUAAAGACUACGUCCUCUGCUCUCCUCUGAGCUAGGCACAGCUCGACAACUCCAUUCUUGGCCACCAAAUGUAGGCAGACCUAUGUGACAUUGCUAGGAAAUCUCCUCAGUGAUGGCUCUUUCCUCCAUCCUAAUGCCUGGAAUGUAGGUUGACCCCUGGAGCCUGGGCAGCCAUCUUGCACUAUGAAGACAAAGACUACAUCUCAGCGAUGGCAAAGAAUAAGCAGAAAGGGGCCCGGGUUCCUAAAAGUUGAUGAGCUAUCAAGCCAGUCCUAGAAAUGCCUAUCUCCAGACUGCUUCUACACAUGAGAGAAAUAAACUUUUAUUUAAGCCACCAUUA